CAAGCGGUGGAGCAUGUGGUUUAAUCGAAGCAACGCGAAGUAACCUUACCAGGUCUUGACAUCCCGAUGCUAUUCUAGAGAUAGAAAGUUACUUCGGUACAUCGGUGACAGGUGGUGCAUGGUUGUCGUCAGCUCGUGUCGUGAGAUGUUGGGUUAAGUCCCGCAACGAGCGCAACCCCUAUUGUUAGUUGCCAUCAUUCAGUUGGGCACUCUAGCGAGACUGCCGGUAAUAAACCGGAGGAAGGUGGGAUGACGUCAAAUCAUCAUGCCCCUUAUGACCUGGGCUACACACGUGCUACAAUGGUUGGUACAACGAGUUGCGAGUCGGUGACGGCGAGCUAAUCUCUUAAAGCCAAUCUCAGUUCGGAUUGUAGGCUGCAACUCGCCUACAUGAAGUCGGAAUCGCUAGUAAUCGCGGAUCAGCACGCCGCGGUGAAUACGUUCCCGGGCCUU
rnacentral:rRNA from 1 species